CCUCAGUAGUGACUCCAAGGACAAAGUUUAGAUGUUCUUUCAACAUGCUGGUCUUGUUUUGCUGUUUGUUCAUUUGCUUCCUCUAAAUUUCAGAUUAGAGAGGGAGCAAGUUUCUUGUAAAGAAGCAUUACUUGCCAGGUGCAGUGGCUCAUUCCUGUAAUUCCAGCACUUUGAGGGGCUGAGGCAGGAGGAUGGUUUCAGCUCAGAAGUUUAAGACCAACCUGGGCAAUGUAGUGAAACCUCAUCUCUACUAAAAAUAAAAAAUAAAUUAGCUGGGCACAGUAGCAUGUGCCUGUAGUCCCAGCUAUCUGGGAUGCUGAGGUAGGAGGAUCGCCUGGGAUGCUGAGGUGGGAGGAUCACUUGAACCCAGGAGAUCGAGGCUGCAAGUUUGCUAGGAUGACACCACUGAACUCCAGCCCAGGUGACAGAAUGAAAUCCUGUCUCAAAAAAAAAAAAAAAAGAUAAUAAAAUAAAAAUGAACCAUUACCCAAUAAAUAGCACAGUAAAUACUUGUGCUGUUUACUCAGAUAAUGGAGCUGGUAGAAAAGGAGUUUUGGAGUGAGGAAAUCAAUAAUUGGUGUUUUAUUGUGCAAAAUUUGAUAAUCUCACAGGGUACUGUGAAGAUUCAGUGAGAUGAUGAUCAUGAAUACAAUUAAAAUAUAUAAAGAUAUAUAAACGCAAACCUAUUAUUUAAAUCUAAUGGUUCUAAAUCAUUCAGGAGAACUCCAUCCCCAUGAUCCAAUCAUCUCCCACCAGGCCCCUCAGUAUUAGUCAUUCAGAGAUGAAAGGCAGAGUAGUGAGACAGAGAGAGAGAUUUCACAAUUCAAAACAUUGUGAUAACUGCAGGACCCUGGACUGUGGGAAGAUGGACCUCAGGGAGAAACAGCUAUUGGAACCUAAUUGCAAACUGCAUGAAAGCAGGAGCUGGCAUUUUCCCAUCUGAUCUGGGUGCCUUUUAGAAGAACUGCCUUAUCUCCAGUUUCUGUUUCUUGCCUCAUCCUUAUUAUUUUCUUUUUCCCCAUGGCUCUAUCUGCACUUUGCUUUAAAAUUUACUCAUCAGUGAUUCCCAGUUUUGUUUUUUGUUUGUUUGUUUUCUAGACAGAGCCUUGCUCUGUCGCCCAGGCUGGAGUGCAGUGGUACAAUCUCAGCUCACUGCAGCUUCUGCCUCCCUGGUUCAAGGGAUUCUCCCACCUCAGCCUUCCAAGUAGCUAGGACUACAGGCGUGUGCCACCACGCCUGGCUAAUUUUUGUAUUUUUAGUAGAGACAGGGUUUUGCCAUGUUGGCCAGGCUGCUCUUGAACUCCUAACCUCAAGUGAUCCAUCCACCUCGGCCUCCCAAAGUGCUGGGAUUAUAGGUGUGAGCCACCGCACCCACUCUGGUUCUCAGUUUUCUUAAAACAGACAAAGGUAUUGCCUUUGAGCCCAAUGGUAAGAAAAUUAGGCUUAUCCCUUACCUUGUUAACUCAAGAGUAUUUACACAGUCUUUCAAUUUUGUUAUCAACUAUCCAAUGUUAGAAUUUUCCUAGUUCAAAGAUUACAACAGGAUGGGGAGAGAAGAGGUGAGGUUUGGGCAAGUAACACGUUCUUGGUGAGAGGCCAUGUUCCCUAAACUUUCAGAUGGCCAGCACUGAUUGCAUUAUGACAUCUGGAAAAUUGGGACCAAACUUCAACAGUGUGGCUUGGAACCAGGCAUGUAGAUUUUCUGAGCCCUGGUAACUUUAGGCCUAAUUACCCCUUGUCUGAUCUC
rnacentral:lncRNA from 10 species